UACAGAGGUCCCAAGCGUUGUUCGGAUUUACUGGGCGUAAAGGGUGCGUAGGUGGCGGGGUAAGUCUGGUGUGAAAGCUCCGAGCUCAACUCGGAAAAGCAUUGGAAACUAUCCCGCUGGAGGGUCGGAGGGGAGACUGGAAUUCUCGGUGUAGCAGUGAAAUGCGUAGAUAUCGAGAGGAACACCAGUGGCGAAGGCGGCUCACUGGUCCGAUACUGACGCUGAGGCGCGAAAGCGUGGGGAGCAAACAGG
rnacentral:rRNA from 1 species